UAGGGAAUCUUCGGCAAUGGGGGCAACCCUGACCGAGCAACGCCGCGUGAGUGAAGAAGGUUUUCGGAUCGUAAAGCUCUGUUGUAAGAGAAGAACGUGUGUGAGAGUGGAAAGUUCACACAGUGACGGUAACUUACCAGAAAGGGACGGCUAACUACGUGCCAGCAGCCGCGGUAAUACGUAGGUCCCGAGCGUUGUCCGGAUUUAUUGGGCGUAAAGCGAGCGCAGGCGGUUUAAUAAGUCUGAAGUUAAAGGCAGUGGCUUAACCAUUGUUCGCUUUGGAAACUGUUAAACUUGAGUGCAGAAGGGGGGAGUGGAAUUCCAUGUGUAGCGGUGAGAUGCGUUGAUAUAUGGAGGCACACCGGUGGCGAAAGCGGCUCUCUGGUCUGUAACUGACGCUGAGGCUCGAAAGCGUGGGGAGCAAACAGG
rnacentral:rRNA from 1 species